rnacentral:rRNA from 1 species
AACGAACGCUAGCGGCAUGCCUAACACAUGCAAGUCGAGCGAGACCUUCGGGUCUAGUGGCGCACGGGUGCGUAACGCGUGGGAAUCUGCCCUUCGGUUGGGAAUAACUGAGAGAAAUUUCAGCUAAUACCUUAUAAUGUCUUCGGACCAAAGAUUUAUCGCCGAGGGAUGAGCCCGCGUAGGAUUAGGUAGUUGGUGGGGUAAUGGCCUACCAAGCCGACGAUCCUUAGCUGGUCUGAGAGGAUGAUCAGCCACACUGGGACUGAGACACGGCCCAGACUCCUACGGGAGGCAGCAGUGGGGAAUAUUGGACAGUGGGCGAAAGCCUGAUCCAGCAAUGCCGCGUGAGUGAUGAAGGCCUUAGGGUUGUAAAGCUCUUUCACCGGUGAAGAUAAUGACGGUAACCGGAGAAGAAGCCCCGGCUAACUUCGUGCCAGCAGCCGCGGUAA